rnacentral:rRNA from 1 species
UACGAAGGGUGCAAGCGUUAAUCGGAAUUACUGGGCGUAAAGCGCGCGUAGGUGGUUCAGUAAGUUGGAUGUGAAAUCCCCGGGCUCAACCUGGGAACUGCAUCCAAAACUGCUGAGCUAGAGUACGGUAGAGGGUGGUGGAAUUUCCUGUGUAGCGGUGAAAUGCAUAGAUAUAGGAAGGAACACCAGUGGCGAAGGCGACCACCUGGACUGAUACUGACACUGAGGUGCGAAAGCGUGGGGAGCAAACAGG